GACGAACGCUGGCGGCGUGCCUAAUACAUGCAAGUCGUGCGGACCUUUUAAAAGCUUGCUUUUAAAAGGUUAGCGGCGGACGGGUGAGUAACACGUGGGCAACCUGCCUGUAAGACUGGGAUAACGCCGGGAAACCGGGGCUAAUACCAGAUCGUUUUUUCCUCCGCAUGGAGGAAAAAGGAAAGGCGGCUUCGGCUGCCACUUACAGAUGGGCCCGCGGCGCAUUAGCUAGUUGGCGGGGUAACGGCCCACCAAGGCAACGAUGCGUAGCCGACCUGAGAGGGUGAUCGGCCACAUUGGGACUGAGACACGGCCCAAACGCCUACGGGAGGCAGCAGUAGGGAAUCUUCCGCAAUGGACGAAAGUCUGACGGAGCAACGCCGCGUGAGUGAAGAAGGCCUUCGGGUCGUAAAACUCUGUUGCCGGGGAAGAACAAGUGCCGUUCGAACAGGGCGGCGCCUUGACGGUACCCGGCCAGAAAGCCACGGCUAACUACGUG
rnacentral:rRNA from 1 species